CGAAACCAGGUGAUCUACCCUUGGUCAGGUUGAAGUUCAGGUAACACUGAAUGGAGGACCGAACCGACUUACGUUGAAAAGUGAGCGGAUGAACUGAGGGUAGCGGAGAAAUUCCAAUCGAACCUGGAGAUAGCUGGUUCUCUCCGAAAUAGCUUUAGGGCUAGCCUCAAGUGAUGAUUAUUGGAGGUAGAGCACUGUUUGGACGAGGGGCCCCUCUCGGGUUACCGAAUUCAGACAAACUCCGAAUGCCAAUUAAUUUAACUUGGGAGUCAGAACAUGGGUGAUAAGGUCCGUGUUCGAAAGGGAAACAGCCCAGACCACCAGCUAAGGUCCCAAAAUAUAUGUUAAGUGGAAAAGGAUGUGGCGUUGCCCAGACAACUAGGAUGUUGGCUUAGAAGCAGCCAUCAUUUAAAGAGUGCGUAAUAGCUCACUAGUCGAGUGACACUGCGCCGAAAAUGUACCGGGGCUAAACAUAUUACCGAAGCUGUGGAUUGUCCUUUGGACAAUGGUAGGAGAGCGUUCUAAGGGCGUUGAAGCAUGAUCGUAAGGACAUGUGGAGCGCUUAGAAGUGAGAAUGCCGGUGUGAGUAGCGAAAGACGGGUGAGAAUCCCGUCCACCGAUUGACUAAGGUUUCCAGAGGAAGGCUCGUCCGCUCUGGGUUAGUCGGGUCCUAAGCUGAGGCCGACAGGCGUAGGCGAUGGAUAACAGGUUGAUAUUCCUGUACCACCUAUA
rnacentral:rRNA from 1 species